GGGAGUUAUCAGGUUAGUAAACAAGGGAUUUGGAUACAGGCUCUGAGAUGAAAGGUUAAGAGGCAGGGCUUAAAUAGCAACUUUAGUUAUCGCUUCCAGGUCUGUUAAAGAAAACCAGUCUUGAGCAAUGCUUAAGAUCACAGUUUAUACUGAGUAAGGGCUGUGCACUGAAGGACGAUACCUUUUAUUGCUUAGCAUUCUUUUUCCUUUGAAUAAGCAGAGCAUGUGUGUGGACAACUAUCAACCCCACGAAGAGGCCCUGGGAUUGACAUUCUAAGUAUUGGAUGCAGUACUUGCAAAGCCAUGGAAGAGUGGAAUAUCAUGACAUAGCUUGUAUAGCAUGCAGUGGAGCUCGUGGAGUUGCCAAAAUGCCAUCACCUGUGCUUUAGGAAGAGCCCUGGUGGCUACAUGAAAGAUGGAUGGAUUGAUGCCGGAGGAGAUGAGACUGGAGUCGAAUUCACUCUAAUGUCAUUCUGGGGCAAAUUUAAGUUACUAACUGAAAUAAACGGGAAGAUCAGACAAUGA
rnacentral:lncRNA from 1 species